rnacentral:lncRNA from 1 species
CCAGCAGUCAGGCCCGGCCCCUCUCCCGAGCCCGCCGCGGCAGUUGGCGCGCUACACGCCGGAGCCUUCACCUUCUUCCUUUGCCAUCGUCUCCGCGGAGACCCGAGUGGCCCUACGGCUCCCGAGCAGCCCGGAGUCUCCCAAACCUCCGAGUAUCCAAACCCCGCGGCCGCCCCGGCCAGCUCCCGGCUGCCGCGCCCCCACUUCCUGACCCGCCCCCCUCUGGUGUCUCCGCCAACUGGGUCCCUCCAAGGCGCUCCGGGAACCAGAGUGCAGGGAGCGGGGCCCGGCCGGAGCGUUUCGCUAGAGCGCCUCAGCCAUGCCCACGAUGGCCACGGGAUGGCAAUGCUCCUGGGAGGAGCGAGUCCCCGCCGCCGCCCUCGCUCCUUGCUGAGCCUCACAGGAAAGCAGGAGCCAGAGCAAGCUUUUCGUGACGCUGGGAUCCGUCUCAGAAAGUCAUAGACUGUAGGCCAGAUCCAGUCCCUAUGUCCGGCCGAUUUUUCAAACAGAAAACGGAGUUUCAACUGCAGAGCAACGAGUCCUGGACUUGUUACGAUGAUUUCAAAGCCAGGCAAGACGUUCUAGACACAUCAGCUCCUGGUAGCAUCCCCAAUCUACUUCAAAGAUGAUGAUGAGCAAAGAAGGACCGCUACAUGGAGUUCGCUUCAGUUGUGGCAAACAUGGCCACUGGGCAAAAAACCUGCCCCUUACCUCAAUGGCUGACAGCAGGCUCUCCAAACUGUGGAAAAGCAGGACACUGGGAAGUUGAUUGAUCCACUUUGCUGAGACAAGUCGAAGGGCUACUGUUGGUCAAGUGAGAGGGCAAUGCUCGACUCCACAGUCAAGGUGAUGAUGCAAACUAAAAAUAGCCACAACCUAGGCAUUGCAUCCAAGCAAAGGACGAGAGUAACAAAGAAACAUGUGCUUUGGAUCAAAUCACUUUCCCGCCGAGUUCCAUCAGGCAGCUGUACCAGCUAGUGCCAAAUACUGCACUCUGGUCCAAAGCACAGCUAUACAAGCGGUGCUAAACACUGAGCGCUGCAGCCGCUCUAACUUAUCGGUGUUUACCUCAGGC